CCUAUUUCCUGUACAUCUCUCUGACACACACACACACACCUUUUCUCUACACACUCUCUCACACACACAUUCACUCUCUCUACACACACUUUCUCCAUCUCACACUCUCUAUGUACACACUUCCUGUCUGAUAAAUAACUGUGUCAGGAAUAUCACCUAUCAUGGUGGGCUACUGUCCCAUCUGUGGGAAACCCGUCUACUUUGGUGCUGUUUCCGCCAGUCAGGAUGGGAUCUCUGCAGCAGAGGUGGAGCUGAGAGUCAGACCAGGAGACAGUGGUCAAUCAAUAAUUCAAACCUUCAUUCCAAUACUCUUGAGGAAGGAGACCUGUUUUACGCCUCGUUGGAUAUCCGUCAGGGACAGAGGAGACCAAAGAAGAAGAAGAAGAGAGUCCAGAACUCUGACUUCAGUACCUACACAGCCAUCAAUACCAGCAGAGUGAGACCUAUACCAGCCAUCAAUACCAGCAGAGUGUGAGACCUAUACCAUCCAUCAAUACCAGCAGAGUGAGACCUAUACCAUCCAUCAAUACCAGCAGAGUGUGAGACCUAUACCAUCCAUCAAUACCAGCAGAGUGAGACCUAUACCAUCCAUCAAUACCAGCAGAGUGUGAGACCUAUACCAUCCAUCAAUACCAGCAGAGUGAGACCUAUACCAUCCAUCAAUACCAGC
rnacentral:lncRNA from 1 species